CGGGAGGGGUUGUCAGGUAGCCAGCAAAUUAUUGUAUCCCACUGCCAGCAAAUUAAUUGUUUUCCCAGUCGGCAAAACAUGAAUUGGAUAGGAUUAUAGGAACAACACUAGAAUAUAAAUAUUGGAGUGAAACUGAUUAAAAACUAAUAAUUUAGCUUAAAUUUGGGGGAAUUAUGGAAACAUUGAGGGAAACUAAACCAG